rnacentral:misc_RNA from 1 species
CCUUCGGACCAAAAUUGUUGUAUGGCUUGUGUGGGGCGAGGGGCACAACGUGAAUCCGUAAUAGGCCAUGGCGGGUGUGUUUUUAAGCAUCCAAGCCAUACAACAAUUUGGGGUUGGGAGGUGAUGGAUAUAAAUCGAUGUAUGUUUAUUGUCGGAUGAUAUGGUUGCGCGAUUUACACUAAACAUACAUCGAUUUAUAUCCAUCAUGGCGCUUAUCGAUGUAUGGCUUGUGUGGGGCGAGAGCCAGAACGUGGAACCGUAAAAGGAUCUGCAAGGGUUUCCCAAACCACACAAGCCAUACAUCGGUUGUAAGUCGCAAAACAACCACAAUUGUUGUAUUGCUUGGGUGUCUUUUUAAGCGUCCAAGCCAUACAACAAUUGGGGGGGAUUAUUCUAGCGGGUUUCGUUCUCUUCGUAUCGUGC